UACGUAGGGUGCGAGCGUUGUCCGGAAUUAUUGGGCGGAAAGAGCUCGUAGGCGGCUUGUCGCGUCGGAUGUGAAAUCCCGAGGCUCAACCUCGGGUCUGCAGUCGAUACGGGCGGACUGGAGUUCGGCAGGGGAGACUGGAAUUCCUGGUGUAGCGGUGAAAUGCGCAGAUAUCAGGAGGAACACCGGUGGCGAAGGCGGGUCUCUGGGCCGAUACUGACGCUGAGGUGCGAAAGCGUGGGGAGCAAACAGG
rnacentral:rRNA from 1 species